UCUAUUUCUGUGAAUUUAUGAAUAUAUCUGCUUUAGCCUUAAUUGAUUUUUUUUUUUAUGGUAAGGUUUUUGGAGGAGGGUAUUGUGUUGGGAAGUCUUAUUAGUAUGUAGUCAGACUGGCCCAUGGUGGAAGUAUUGCUCAGCCGUUUGAGUGCUAGGGUUAUGCUUAGCCAGUUACUGGGUUCCUGAAUGAUUGUUCUGUCUGUUUGCCUGCACUGUAAAUCACACCCCACCCCACCCCCCAGGGUAGAAAGGACUUGGAGUAUGUCAGAAAGUUUUAACGUGUGAUAGUAAUCUUAGGGAAUAACCUCUCUACCCCUUACCUCUACAGCUAUUGAAGGGCUAGUUGAUAUAGAAGCAUUUGCAGUUUGGAGGGAGUUCAAACUGAUGUGAAUUCAGCCUAGAGACUUAGAUUUUAACAUUUUUAUAUAGGACUCUUAAGGGCCUAAUUGUAGGGUUUCAAGAAUGGGCCCCUGAGGGUGAAUCUUAGCCUUGUAACUAGUUACAAAAGGAAAGAAGAGAAGAACCAGAGAGCUCAGGCUGGCAUCUGAAGGAGCCAGCUGCCAUCUGACAGCAGGCACCUCAGAGAUGAAUGCUGUGGACAUGGAUCUACUGCAUAGAUGCUUUCCGCCACGAAGAGCCUCUUUAUUUGAUCAUUAUAAACUAGUUACGUGUUGAUUUCAAGAUUGUUAGAAAUAUGGAAUGAAGUAUAGUUUGCCAGUGAACUGUUGUCCAUGCUCAGCCAUGUCAGACAGGUAUUGUUACUAUAGAAGAAGGUGGUCGGUCUCUUCCUGUCUCACUGUCUUCUCAGCACCACAUGAAAUGCCCCCUCUCCGUACCUUUCCUUAUGCUGCUGGGUCAGCUAAAGUAUUUAUUUGCUCUGAAUGUUUGCAGGGAGCAAAUUAUUUAUAAAAGUUUCACAUUUUAUAGCCAAACUGUUCUGUGACUAUUUCAGUACUUGCAGAUCCAUGAAGCUUCCCUUUGGAAAUGUAAUUGCCUUGUCGAUAGCAUAUCACUAACACUGCAGUUUUUCUUUUCUGAGCUCAAUUGCUGGUAGAGUUGUAAAAAAUUACUCAUCUAACACUUUCAAGUGUAAGAACAGUUUAAUACUUACUAAUUGGCUUAAUUACAUAAUGGCAUUUAUAAGUUGCUUUACAACCAUUUUUAAUAACCCUGAUAUAUGUAAUUUCUAUGAAUUAAGUAGAUAACGAAAUUCUGCUUUCUGUAUGAGUUACUCUGAAAAUGUUAAAUUACCUAAAUAAUCUAUACUGACAAUUUUAAUUUUGAGUUAUCACUUUUGUUGUAUAAUUCAUGAAGAAAUAAUUCUGCUUAUAAUUUUAAGUUUGCCCUAUCUACAAAAAGAAGUCAUUGAUAAAGAGUGAGUUUUUAUUAUUGCUUUCGAUUUUUUAAAAGGACUAUUUACUUUAAAAUUCUAUUUUGUUUGUAUGGAUGUUUUGCUUGCAUGUAUUUUUGUAUACUGUAUUGUGUGUAUGGGGUUGGGGGUGGAGGCCAGAAGAAUAUCAGAUACCCUGGGACUGGAGUUACAGAUGGUUUUAAGUUGCCAUGUGAGUAUUGGGAAUUGAAUCUGGGUCCUCUGAAAGAGCAACCAGUGCUUUUAACCAUUGAGCCAUCUUUCCAGCCUCUAAAGGAUUUUUUUUUUAAACAACAACAAUGACAAACCCCCUGUAUUUUAAAUAUUAAUUUUUUUGGCAAAAUCACUUUUAUUUUUAUAUUGUGAGUACUGGAAUCAAGGGGUGGACACCACCAUGCCUACCAAACUCUGCUUUUUAGAAGAAUUUUUAUUUAAUCUAAUAUUUAAUUUUUAAAUUUUUAUUAUAAAUAGUAGAAAAUAAAAGUAGAACUUGCUUCCCUUGUUGUUGUUGGUAUUUGGAUUAUUUUGAGACAGACGACUUUGCUUUGUAUAUAGUCCAGGCCAGUCUCCAGGCACUUCAUCCUCCAGCGCCAAUUUCUCUGGUACUGGGAUUCCAGGUGUAGGCCAUACCUGCCUCUAAACAUUUUUAUAUUUUGGAGAUAAGAAGCACAAAUAAGUUUGUACCUGUAGAGUAAGCCAUUUGCCCACAUAAGAAUGUAUCUUUUCUAUUAAAAUAUAGUUUAAUCUUAAGUAGUUGACUUACUUUCUUAAUUUUCAACUCUCAGUUAUAACUGUAGUACAUCCCAGUAUGGAAACUUGGGAAAAGCAGAAACAACAACAAAAAAAGCACAGAUUAAGAAUUUAAAAUACUACUGAAAAUCCUGUCACUCAGAAAAGCCAUUGUUAGUCUUGUGGGGUAUGUGAGGCUGUGCGCACUUAGAGCCAUGACUGUGUAGACCUGUAGCAUCCACCGCAAUGCAGGCCAUUCUCUUCCUUCAGCUCUUCAGCAUACUUUCCUAUCAGUGUGCUCUCCAGGGUACUGUGUGAAUGUGCUUAUUCUGAUCCAUGUUUUCAAUACCACUUUGACUGUUGGACACAAAAGCUUUAAUUUUUAAGAUAAUGAGAAUUACAACUUGAAAAUUUUUAUAGCUUUUAAAAAAAUAUAAUACAAGUAGAAUGAUACUGAAUUUGUGUUGAUAACCAAAUUCAAUAGAUUUUAUGCUUUUUUUUGUUGGAAAAAUAUGCUAGUCUGUAUAAUCAGUAGUAAGAAUAAUGAGGUAAAGUCUAAGAUUUUUAAAGUUACUUUUUCAAAAUUUAUGUCUUGCUUUGAAAUGUACUCACAUUGCAUUUUCUGAGCAUAAGUCAGUUGGGUGUUUGAUUUUCUUUGUGGUGCUGAGGAUGAAACCUAGGGCCUGUCCCAUACUAGGGUCACAUGGUCUACUACCCAGCUACUUCACUGGCUAGUCAUUGGUCUGCUGUGCUUGGUAGAAAACCAGUUUUUGGCCAUGGGGCUAUAUAUGAUUAUGCUGUGCUUUUCAAGGAAUUGUUGUUUCCUUGAAGUCACUGUCAGAGUUGUCAUGUGUCUUUUGUUUUUUUUAAUCCUUUUAGUAUCUGUAGAAAACACAGUGAGUCUAAUAUCCUUGUAACCUCUAGAGCAGUGGUUCUCAGCCUUCCUAAUGCUGCGACCCUUUAAUACAGUUCCUCAUGGGGUGGUGACCCCAACCAUAAAAUUGUUUUCAUUGCUACUCAUAACUGUAAUUUUGCUAUUGUUAUAAAUUAUAAUGUAAACAUCUGUGUUUUCUGGUGGUCUUAGGCGACCCCUGUGAAAGGGUUGUUUGGUCCCAAAAGGAGUGGCGGUGCCCAGGUUGAGACCCUCCACUCUAUUAUUCCUAGUACACUAAUUUGAGUAUUCUCUGUUCUUUAGCGGCCUAGCUAAACAUUUAUUAAUUUACUGGAUUCUCAUAGCCAACCUCUAGUUUAACUGAUUUCCUCUACUUUUUCUAUUUUUAAAAGCCUCCUUUCUUCUCUGCUGCUUAUUUGCUUUCUUUGGGUAUAGUUUGUUUUCUCUAAUUUCUCAAGCUAGAAGUUGAAGUCAUUUGGUUUUUCAUUGUAAGCAUACUAGAAGUUCUGACUGCUUUAAAUGUUUACUUCCAGAUUUUUCUAUUUUGGGGGGUGGAGUGAGAUUCAGUUGUAUUGUUGCUUGUUUGUUUUCCCUUCUUCAGGUUAGCUGCUAAUCCCUGGGCUGAGGGCAUCCUGUUUGUCACUCUUAUGAGAAUCUGGGACUUCAGACAAACAUAACUGUGCCUAGCUUCUGGUGUCUCUGUGAUCUGGGAUUAUUGAGAAGUUUGUUAGUUUCCAAAUAUUUGGAAGGUUUCCAGAGAUAUUUCUGUUAAUCUAAUUCCAGUGUGAUGAUUGUUUUAAAUUCAUUGAAGUUUGUUUUAUAGGUCCAAAUAUGAUCUUGGUAAAUGUCUUAUAUGUAUUUGAAAAGAAUGUUGUUGGGUAAGGUGCUCUGUAAAUACCAGUUAGGUCAAAUUGGUUUGUUGUUUUAUUUAUGCCUUGUUUUAAAAUGCAUGUCAGACCUGGUAUUUUCUGCCAGAGAGCAUGUUAGCUUUUUCAUUGCUGUAACAAAAUACCUGAAUGAAACAAGUUAAGGAAAGACUGAUUUUUGUUUCAGAGUUUCAGCAACCUUAGUCAGUGGUUGACUGGCUCCACUGUUUAGGUUCUGAGGUGAAACAGAACUUGGUGAGAGAGGGCAUGAUAGAACAUGGCUACUCAGCUAAGGAUAGAAAAGACAGACAGGUCUG
rnacentral:lncRNA from 1 species